AGUGAACGCUGGCGGUAGGCCUAACACAUGCAAGUCGAACGGCAGCACAGUAAGAGCUUGCUCUUACGGGUGGCGAGUGGCGGACGGGUGAGGAAUACAUCGGAAUCUACUUUUUCGUGGGGGAUAACGUAGGGAAACUUACGCUAAUACCGCAUACGACCUACGGGUGAAAGCAGGGGAUCUUCGGACCUUGCGCGAGUGAAUGAGCCGAUGUCGGAUUAGCUAGUUGGCGGGGUAAAGGCCCACCAAGGCGACGAUCCGUAGCUGGUCUGAGAGGAUGAUCGGCCACACUGGAACUGAGACACGGUCCAGACUCCUACGGGAGGCAGCAGUGGGGAAUAUUGGACAAUGGGCGCAAGCCUGAUCCAGCCAUACCGCGUGGGUGAAGAAGGCCUUCGGGUUGUAAAGCCCUUUUGUUGGGAAAGAAAAGCAGCAGGUUAAUACCCCGCUGUUCUGACGGUACCCAAAGAAUAAGCACCGGCUAACUUCGUG
rnacentral:rRNA from 1 species